GACUCCGUGGCGCAAUUGGCAGCGCGUGAGAUUCCAAAUCUCGAGGUUAUUGGUUCAAGUCCUGUCGGGGUCA
rfam:Protomyces lactucaedebilis strain 12-1054 BCR37scaffold_21, whole genome shotgun sequence.